AUUGAACGCUGGCGGCAGGCCUAACACAUGCAAGUCGAGCGGAUGAAGGGAGCUUGCUCCUGGAUUCAGCGGCGGACGGGUGAGUAAUGCCUAGGAAUCUGCCUGGUAGUGGGGGAUAACGUCCGGAAACGGGCGCUAAUACCGCAUACGUCCUGAGGGAGAAAGUGGGGGAUCUUCGGACCUCACGCUAUCAGAUGAGCCUAGGUCGGAUUAGCUAGUUGGUGGGGUAAAGGCCUACCAAGGCGACGAUCCGUAACUGGUCUGAGAGGAUGACCAGUCACACUGGAACUGAGACACGGUCCAGACUCCUACGGGAGGCAGCAGUGGGGAAUAUUGGACAAAGGGCGAAAGCCUGAUCCAGCCAUGCCGCGUGUGUGAAGAAGGUCUUCGGAUUGUAAAGCACUUUAAGUUGGGAGGAAGGGCAGUAAGUUAAUACCUUGCUGUUUUGACGUUACCAACAGAAUAAGCACCGGCUAACUUCGUG
rnacentral:rRNA from 1 species